GGGUCCAGUGCGGACGGCACACGGCGCGGCAUGGGAGUAGACAUCUCGCUGCUCAGCUGCCAGUACUUUCUGGCUCAGAUCCUCGUGUCUCUGGUCCUGGGGCCCCUGACCUCCGCUGUGGGCAGUGCCAAUGGUGUGAUGUACUUCGCCAGCCUCGUGUCCUUCCUCGGCUGCCUCUACUCCUCCCUGUGUGUCACCUACGAAAUCCCCUCUGCCGAUGCAGCUGACGAGGAGCGCCAGCCCCUCCUGUUGAACGUCUGAUGUGUCAUGAUCUCAACCUUGGACUUGAAGGUGGUCUGCUGCAGGCUGGCCCCUGAGGAACCAAAGGCCUUGGCAGCCGGCCAGGCUCCCAGUGGGAUGUAAAUACAGGCUAAAUAAACAACAGCAACAAUCGUAUCCAAGGUUGUGAGGUCACCUAGGCCGAGCUACCCCUCCCUGGGGGGUGGGGGUGUAAUGUGAAAAUCAUUUAUCAAAAGUGAAGAUGCAAUUCAGAACUCAGUGGUAGUUCUCCAUCAAGGAUGCUUUUGAUAUCUCCCUGCU
rnacentral:lncRNA from 1 species